GACGUUUAAAACAGACAAGUCACCUGGGACUCAGCAACUGCCUAGGGUUAUAAAAAGAAAACAGAUUGUUGUCCUGACAAAAUGAGAAAUCUAACAGGAUUUUAAAGCAAUUGGAGACUUGGCUUCAGGGAAGGAACAAGCUGAGGCUGAGGACACA